rnacentral:lncRNA from 1 species
GGGAUAUGCAGCAAGUAACCCAGCUUUCAGCGGAACCAGCCCUGCCUCAGAUCUCCUUACUCAGAACCUGCAUUUUUUCAAGAUUACCAGGGGAUUUAUGUGCACCUUGAAGUAUGCUACCUGUGCCGCACCCACACCCUUUUCUGGAACAGCACUUUCGGGCCACUGCAGGCCCCAGGAUCUUCCCUCUGUGGAAGAAACCUGCUUUGGGAAACGACAGGAAGCAGCUUGGGUACUAGGUGCGUAAUAUUUGGUCGUGAAAUCAGGAGAAUAAUGGGAGAAUGGAAUAUUUUCAGUCACUGGCUCUCAGUGAGCAGUGAAAAAAACUAAUGCCCUUGUGAAAUGCAGGCAUUAGCUGUAUUUUUUGCCCUCCUCCCCUAGAACACAGUCCAGUAAAAAAACGGGGGCUAUGACUUUCAGGUAGCAAGCGCGCUCACGUGGCCUAUACGUUGCACGGGGUGUUUUGCACCCGGCCCUUUACCACAGGCUUGGGACGCCACACCUCCCCUCCAAUGGGGAACAGCCACAAUGGCUGCUGGGCCAAAUGGCACGUGGCGAGCCUGGCUGCCACCAUCGUCCAGCCAAUAAACAACAGGACUGGGAGCUAUUGUGCAAUGUAAGUGGCUCCCAGCUGGGCUUGCAUUCUCUGUCCUCAAAGGUGCAGGCUGGCUCAGGCUGGCACGGGGGGGGGGGGCGGGGUGAGGAACCACCUUGUGGGAAGUAGGAGUUUAUGUCACCAGUGCGCAACUGUGAGCGGGCCGUGUGCAAUUCCGCUGGGGGAGUGGUGUCGUCUCCAGACAACCUCUUCCCGCCACAGCCUCGCGGCGCAGUCGGCACGGAGGCGGCAGCCGCCAUAGACGUGUGGUGGUCGCGCUGCGCGGGAACACCGGCUUGGAGGCACCUCCGGCAGAUCCAGGGAAGCAGGAACCAUCACGCCUGAGUCAGGAACUGCCUAAUUGGAUAGAGUUGAAGAGCAGAGCGACUCUGAAGUGACUGUGUUAUUGCAGCAUCUGCGCUGCCAGCAGGGCCAACCCAGAAAGGUGAGCAGCUGUGAGGUGGGCCCUGUUGGGAGGGCCUCUGGAACCCCGGCAAAGAGUGUGGAGAGGGGACUGCCUGCCAGCGUUCACAGACUCUGCAGGGUAGGGCCAUCUCUAGGGCAAGAGUUGUUGGUUUCCUGCAGUCUGGCAGUGGGGACCUCAUCAGGGUCCCUUUUCUACCUGAUUUCAGCUUCCACACAAUUGAAACCAUGAGCUCCUGUCCUUUCAGCACUCACUCCUCAUGCCCACCUCGCCUUCCCUCUCCCACCCUCCUUUUUGCUGGGAAGCUUUAUUGGUUGGAGGCCAAUGACAUCACCUGUUGCUUCUC